GAUUUUUGCAGUGUCUGAGGCCCAGUAUCUUGGCUUCCUCAAAAAGAAUUCGGAGAGAAGGCAACCGGGAAGAGUGUUCAGAGCACAACGGAUGUGCAUGUAUCCACAACCUCCUGGAGUCAAGAGAGGAUCAAUCCAAGGUUCUGGGCUCAUCAAAUUGAUGGAUAACUAUAAUGAAUCCCAUGACUGCACUACUGAAAUUAUCUCAACCACCAAAAUGUCUGUUUAAUCUACAUCAGAGUAGCUGCGCUUCUUUUGUGCCUGGAUAAAUCACGUAAGCAUAACAAAGUACCUUGAAUGUUCAUUUUCAAAGAUCUGAAAAGAAGUUGUCUUGUCUUAGUGGAGUUCUGUGGCUGGCAGCUGUCUGGCAGUCUUUCUGAGGAAAAAAGGUGAGGGGGGAGAAGAACGGGGGAGGAUGAAACUUCUCUCUCUAAAAUAAUUCUUUUUUUGUAUUACAAUCUGAAUGGUGAACAUUUUGUUUUGCUUUAAUUUCUAUUGCCAGUCAAUCAAUAUUCUGACUGAGAGAUCUGAAGAUGCUUUUAGGAAAAAAAACACUUGUUUUCUUCUUCUUUGAUUAUCCUUUCUUUUUAAGUGGACAGUUAUCUAUCUGAGGCAGCAAAUACCCCACAGAUGUGGGCACAAUUCCAGUCUUACUGAAGUGAGGUCUGAACAUAAAAGGCCAAAGAAACACCAUGAAUGCAACAGCAGUCCCUGCAGUUCAUGUCUGCCUCCAUAUUUGCACAAGGUCAUGGUCCAUCCAGGAG
rnacentral:lncRNA from 1 species